UACGUAGGGUGCAAGCGUUAAUCGGAAUUACUGGGCGUAAAGCGUGCGCAGGCGGUUAUGUAAGACAGAUGUGAAAUGCCCGGGCUUAACCUGGGAACUGCAUUUGUGACUGCAUGGCUAGAGUUUGGCAGAGGGGGGUAGAAUUCCACGUGUAGCAGUGAAAUGCGUAGAUAUGUGGAGGGACACCGAUGGCGAAGGCAGCCCCCUGGGUCAAGACUGACGCUCAUGCACGAAAGCGUGGGGAGCAAACAGG
rnacentral:rRNA from 1 species